CAGGCUGCAGAGUUUCAGCCAGCCAUGCUGUUGUGAUACUCAGGAGUUUGUUUUGUUGCUCAUAUUAGUUCAAGUAUUUGACAACAUGAUGGAGAGAAUCCACAAGUCAAAUUCAAAUUCAGAAUUUGAUCAGAAUCUAUUCGGAAUCGUCUAAAUAUUCGGCCGUGUCUUCAGAAAUAAACUAUGAAUUCCACGUUCAAACUUACUUUUGGCUUCAGGCAAAAUGAAACUCGGUAAAUACAGCAUGGAUCAGCCUGAUUUUGGUUCCUAUCAUUCAGUUUCACCCCAGGACAACCCUAAAUACAGCUCAGGUUCAAAAAUCCCAAAGUUUUCCUUUCAGGAUAGACAGAAGUUCCAUGUGUUCGGCUAUUGUCGGAAUAGAGAUCAUGUGAAAAGAGGGUGAUGGGAACUCUGAAAUUUUUAAAGGCAGCAGGGUCACUGGUCUAUCUCAAGGGGACAAACAUUUAAAAAAAAAUACAGUUAUUAAAUUGCAAUAAUCUAUAAUAAUGUGCAGUUUUAUUAGUUGAAGAGGUACGUGUUUUUUUUCUUCUUGCAUAAUCAGUCAUAAAUAAGUUUUGCCCAUUUAGAGUGAACUUAUAAUAAAACUGGUCCUGGCAGAGAGUGAAGUAGAAAAGAGAAAGUGGGUCCGGAUCCUGGAAGGCCUGCAGAACAUCCUGACCAAGAACCUACUGAAGAGCCAGCAGGUCCAUGUUCUGCACGAGGCUUACGAUGCCUCACUACCCAUCAUCAAGACCGCGCUGUCUGCUGCAGUGCUUGAUCGGGAGAGGAUCGCUCUGGGAACAGAAGAUGGGCUCUUUGUGGUCGAAGUCACGAGAGACGUGAUUGUGCGAGCUGCCGACAAUUCAUGGUGAAACCCUGGACAUCUUAAUGAAGGGAAUGUGUGUUGGACUUCUCAUUGGACAUGAAGGCGUUCUGGACGAUGCAUUCCCAAUGUGGCUGUGGUGGCAGAGGAGACGAUCGUUCUUGCUGAAAUAAAAGAUGUGGUCACUGGUUUCACUUUGCUGAUGGGGACAAUCUACUGCCUGAAUCUGGAGUAUCCUUCUGAGAUGAAAUACUCAUUUAAAUUCAUGCAAAGGGUCGUCAUGAAAAUAAAACCUGACCACUGUUCAGCCAGGAUACAUGGAGUCAGAAACAAGCUACUAGGGUUUCUUUUGAAAAGGCUUUCUGUGAGGCCAAUCUGAAGGAAAGCUUUUUCUGAUUUGCUCAAUGUUACUUCUUGAGAAAGCAGCAUCACUGUGCUUUUUCUGUUGUUGCAAAAAUUACACUGCCAGUCUGAAGUUAUUGUUAUUCUGCACUGUUCUUUGUCAUUCACAGAACAACUUGCAUGAACAUAGUUGUUAAAAUAGUUUGUUUUUGAACAAAUAAGUACUAAAUUGAUUUAUUGUAAAGUCUAAAUUAGUCAAGAUGAGAAAUAAAGUUGAAAGAUUAAAAAAAUUUUAAAAGAUUAGUCCUUUUAACUUAACAUAGCAAUUAAUAUGAAAUAUAAAGUCAUCUUAACUUUGAAGUGUAAGUUGAAAUAACGGAAUGUAAGUUUACAUAACAAGGUAAUGUGAGUUUUCAUGAAUGGACAAUUCAACACAGUAAGUCGACUUAACUUUGAGACUUUAGUUGAAAAUACAAACUAUCAUUAGUUAAACAGCUUGUAUAACAGUUUGAGUUGAAACAAUCAUUACUUUCAAGUUGAGUUUGCUCACAUUUUUAAGGCAGCAGGUGAACUUUCAUUUCUAACUUUAACUGGCUUAAAAUGUUUUACAGUGUAGGUCACCAUGGUAACAGAUGGUGCACAGCCAGAUCACUGUGAGCUGUAUGUUAGUUGUCCCACUGAAUGAAGCCGUGCAGUUACUGUGUCACACACUGUCUGAGUUGUGUUGCCAUGGGAACCUACAUGCAUUCAGUUGGUGAUGCAGAGAAACCAUCAGUAUGUUUUUAUCAUUGUUCCUGAUUUGCUGCUGAGUCUGUUUCCACUGCUGGUGCUGCAGUUGAUGGAACACAGAUUAGAACAUGGAUUAUUCUGUUGCUAUUUCUCUCAGAGAAUAUUUAGUCAGUAACAUUAAUUCCACUUUUAUUGGGCCCAAGAAAGAACAGAGAUUUCCACGUCUCCUUCAUUAUGGGACAGUAACAGACCUCGAUGCACUUCCUCAAUAUCACGUGUAAAUAAAUGAAGUUUAAAGUUUCAGAGCUCUGAUGUGCAGCUGUGUCAGAAAAAUUCUUUAGUCCAGUCCUGACCUCUCCAAAUUAAAACUGGUCUCUCAAGUCAAAGCAAAGUUUUACUUGGGGCAAGGAAUCAACAUGCACAGAACACAGUUUGAACAAGUGACUGGCGAAGGGUGAAAACAGCACAGCUUUUGUACAGACACAUAAACAUGAGUUACACAUCUUGCUAUGUGUUGUCUGUAGGUGGCUACAGCCAGGCGGUUUCUUACCCUUCAGGUUCCUGUGCAAGCAGCUUGUGUCCUUGUUCCUCUUUUAGCACACAUCACACAGUAUUACAAUGAAUAAGAACAUUCAAUCAUCAAAUACAAUCAUUUUCAUAAGCUGUUGUGGAAGCAAAACCUUUUUGUUCUUUGCAAUAAAUCAGAGAAAUCCAAGCUGCCUUUUGUUCUUUUCUUCAGAGCUCUGAAGGUUCAGGUGACACAGAGUGCAAAGCAGUCUAUGGGAGAGUAAAAGAACAGAGUGAGAGCUGCCUAUAUACUGAACUAGAAAGAAAUGGCUUUAUUGAGGGUAACUGAGCAGUAAAAUACAAUCAGGAACUUACAGCAGUUUUCUACCAGCAUUUCUGUCUUGAAUCACCUGCAGUAGCAUCUUUAUAUUCUCUUUAUUCUCUUUUUCCAUGCCUGUUUUCUGUCUAUGUUCCUUAUUUUUAACAAUUUAAAUUCACUUGUAUCAUUUUUAGGUGAAAUUGAAAAGAGCUAAAAAUCAAGUAUUGAGUUGUAAUCUGUCCUCUGUGUUGGCUGAUGGACAUAUAGGACACUUUGACACUUGUGUAUAGAGUGGUAUCCUAAUUAAGAUGUGUUUGAUGUGACAGGUGAUUGGCAGGAGGAGCAGAGGAACGUUGUCAGACAUUUUGUCUGAGCUCAACAACGGAACAAACAUGGAUUCUUCACAAAAAGUGAGAAACAUAUCACUGUGCUAUCAUCAUCAUUCAUUUAUUAUUUGGAAUGUGUAAAGUUGCUCCAGUUGGAUAGAUGAUCCAACCAAAGCCAGGUAACGUUGUCUGGAGAGAUGUACCUCUGCAGAGGCAGCUGGUGGACAGCUAGGAAGCUGUUUAUUUUUUGUUUAAGGCCAAACUAACUGCUAGGAAAACAUUACGCAAAUGUGUUUCAUGGUGAUGUAGAUAAGUAACGCAGGAAAAGUCUUGUUUUUCAAGCCAGGUGUUCAGGAAGGAAAUGAUCAGUGUUUUCUUUGGUAGAGAAUAAUACUCUUGGGCAUUGUAAGUUCGCAGGCCUUUUUCCUUCUCAAGAAGUUCAGACAGUUGAAAGCAGAAGUUUACUUACACUGUAUAAAAUGACACAUAACUUUGUUUUUUUGGGUUUUUUUUGAACAAUGUCUGACACUAAAUCAAACGACGUUCCUCCUGUUUUAGGUCAUUUAGGAUUGCCAAAAUGAUCUCUAUUUGCCUAAUGCCAGAAUAACGAAAGAGUGUAAUGCGAUCCUUCUAAAAAUCGACCGAUGCGGACUUAUUGGGACGUAUCCGUCGGAAACCAUCCAAAGAAGAGUUGAUUAAAGGCUGCUGUUUCCAAGUCCCAUCAAUUCCCGUCACCCGCUACAUUUAUGCCACGCGAUUCGGGAUCCAUACAUAAUGUACACAUGCACAACACUGUGCUCAGCCCAAGAAACAUGAAAACAGCAAUGGAGUGAGACAUCAGAAAUCUGCGGAAGAAAACAACGGUUCCCCAACAACAACAAACAGAGAUGAAUCACUCAGUUGUGAGCAACGCAGCAAGACUUUUAUCACAGCAACAAAGCUAAGAAUUCACCAGUGAAUUCACACUGUGGACAAACGGUUCAGCUGUGAUCAGUGCAGGAAGACUUUUACUCACAAGAGUCAUUUAACAAAACAUCAACUCCUUCACAGUGGAGUUUGAGCAUUCAUCUGUGACCAGUGUGGGAAAGGCUACAGCUACAUUGCACAGCUCAGAGCUCACCAACGUGUCCACACUAGGAAGAGACCCUACAGAUGUGACGAGUGUAAGAAGACUUUUACAACUCUGGGUUCCCUGAAACAACACCAGCAGAUCCACACCGGAAAGGAAGCAUUCAAUCAGCGUCACAGUAAGGUAUGUAAAGGUUGUCUCAACAACAAUGUACACACUAUUCUGCAUUGGACAUUUUGGAUAUUGUUGUGAAAUUUAGUGGGAUACUGUUUUGAACAACUGUGGCCAGUCCAGGUUAAUCUGGGGAUGUAGGUAAGAUCAGGAAUUCUGACGUGAUCAGCAACAGCACAAACUUGUUCUCACCACAUAAUGUUGAAAAGACAUCAGUGUUCUUUCAUUUCUGGGAUAUGUUAUGAAAAUUCUUCAUUAAAAUAGUGGUUUCCAUUAAAACAAAGCAGAUUUUUAUUAUUUUUUUAAUUGACUUUCAACAUUGCAGUAAUAUUCUUGAGAUAUUUUAUUCUUUUUUCAAUGAUUUCUCAAACUUUUCUAGACAUUGUUGAAACACUUCAUUUUUGUUUUAGAUUUUUUGACUACAUAUCAUUAGUAUGUUUAAC